CAGUAGCCGCGGGAAUACGAAGGGGGCUAGCGUUGCUCGGAAUGACUGGGCGUAAAGGGCGCGUAGGCGGCGGCCAAAGUCAGGCGUGAAAUUCCUGGGCUCAACCUGGGGGCUGCGCUUGAUACUUGGUUGCUUGAGUGGGGAAGAGGGUCGUGGAAUUCCCAGUGUAGAGGUGAAAUUCGUAGAUAUUGGGAAGAACACCGGUGGCGAAGGCAGCUUCUUGGUCCAUUCCUGACGUUCAUACACGAAAGCGUGGGGAGCAAACAGGAUUAGAUACCCGUGUAGUCCCUGUCUCUUAUAC
rnacentral:rRNA from 1 species